GCUUGUCCAAAAUUAAUUGGGAGAUUUAGAGAGAACUGAAGAAAAUGUCAAGAUGAAUGUUUUCAGUACUUUCACUGAGCUCUUGCAGCAAACUGGAAAUGUCACAAAGCGCCAGGUUGACAUCAAUGAACAUAGAUUGACUAUGAGAAAAGUGGUCGAGGUUGGAACAAGAUGAUGCGGGCUUCUCCAGAUGAUUGGACAAGAAAUUUAGCAACCAUUGUGCAGUAAUCUCCUUAUUCAAGUGAAGAUCUUCUUCAGCAAGUAAUUAGCUUUCUUAG